rnacentral:lncRNA from 1 species
GAGGUUCCUCAAGAAGGAUUAUGACCCUUGAAGAAAACUUCCUUCUUAGACAUACUUCAAUGACGUAAAACUUUCUCCUUACGAAUGGAGUUAAAUUUGUAGUGGGCAAUGGUCUUGUUUUUUCUCUUUGGACUCGUUCAGUUUGCAGGAAGUGGAGGAAGAAAAGAUAAUUCUUGAAAAGUGGAGAGGAGGCUUUUGUUUGGUUGGAGCUUUAAGAGG